UUUGUUUAAAGAUAUGAUUUUUGUAAGACUGACUGUUUUGAUGGAUUUUUAAGAGAGCAUUUAAUUAAAUCGUGUUUGAAUAUGCAUAUGAUCCAAAUAGCGUGCUUAAAUGUUGAGUUUAAAUAGUUAAUUUGUUAGGAUACAAAAGUUUUCUCUCUUGUUAGUAUAUAUAUUACUUCAGUUUUUUAAUAAAGUGACAAAUGAAUGCGGUCAUAUAUGUAUAUGUUACCAUAGAUAUGAAUUGGCUGAUUAUCAAAGUUGUGCUUGGGUCACAUACCUCUUUUGUUUAGAGUAUUUUUUAUAAGGUCAUGAGAUCAUACAUAUUCCAAUUAGCUUACAUAUUAAAGGCGUGAAUGAUAUUUCCUCUGUGUAACUUCCUUGCUUUAUGUAGUUAUGUUUUGUCAAUUAUAAUUGGGUUAGUCUACUAUUCCUUCAGAUAUUUUCUUUGGUGAAUUCUGUUAACAUAAUUUUGUUUGAUUCCUUUACAUGUUAUGCGAAUGAGUAUUAAUCCUUAUCAUCUUGUUUUGUGCAUGUGAUACCAUUUGAGUCCAUUGGACUCUAUCUUUGUGGGCAUCUCCAUCAGAAUAAAAUCGACAUCGACAUGGAGUCUACCUCUUCAUAAUGGAUCAAGGGAUGGAUGACACUCAUGACCAUCCUAUUCGUGGCUAGAGAUUACCCUAGAUUCUCCAGGAGUUGAAUAUGCCUCCACGAAGAUACCUGUAACAUUCCUCAAAAAUGCUCACAGGUAUUGAGAUUGAAGAUCAUAUUCAUCCACGUGGCUAGGGUUGAGAUUGAAGAUCAUAUUCAUCCACAUGGCUAGUUAAACUUUCCUAUCCGGCGAUGUUUGUGGGACGAACGACACUCACGACCAUCCUAUUCGUGGCUAGAGAUUUCCCUCAUGAUUUUUAUUCAUGUUGUUAUUCUUUUGACUUUAUUCUAUUGUUAGGGUGAUCUAGGAGCUUGUCCUAAGCUCCCAUCAAAGACUAUACUAGAGGCAUGAUUACACGACUUAUGAUGUAGUCCGAUUUGGACGUCUAUUGGAUUGUUUCCCUUAGUCCUGUUUCCCCAUUUGAUGAUUACUUCCUCUUAUAUUUUUAUGUUCUUUACCUUAUGUAUGCGAUGUAUGCUAAGAUGGCUUAUGUUUGGGGUCCCUCAUUUCCUGGUCGUCGUGUCGCGGCUUGGCCCUAAUUCGGGUCGUGACACACCUAGAGUAAGAUGUUAUUUUAUACUGAGUUGCAUUUACAUAUUUAUAUCUUUUAAAGUAUUCUCUUUUAUAUAUAUACUAGU